GCUUACACAUGCAGUCGAGGGGCAUCAGGGAAGAAAGCUUGCUUUCUUUGCCGGCGACCGGCGCACGGGUGAGUAACACGUAUCCAACCUGCCCUUUACUCGGGGAUAGCCUUUCGAAAGAAAGAUUAAUACCCGAUAGUAUAAUGAUUCCGCAUGGUUUCAUUAUUAAAGGAUUCCGGUAAAGGAUGGGGAUGCGUUCCAUUAGGUUGUUGGUGAGGUAACGGCCCACCAAGCCUUCGAUGGAUAGGGGUUCUGAGAGGAAGGUCCCCCACAUUGGAACUGAGACACGGUCCAAACUCCUACGGGAGGCAGCAGUGAGGAAUAUUGGUCAAUGGGCGCUAGCCUGAACCAGCCAAGUAGCGUGAAGGAUGAAGGCUCUAUGGGUCGUAAACUUCUUUUAUAUAAGAAUAAAGUGCAGUAUGUAUACUGUUUUGUAUGUAUUAUAUGAAUAAGGAUCGGCUAACUCCGUGCCAG
rnacentral:rRNA from 1 species